rnacentral:rRNA from 2 species
AGCGUGGGGUGCAAUCCAGACUAGAUAUUCCAGUAGUGCCCGCCCAAACGAAGAGUGCUAUAUGUUAGAAGUGUUUCCUCCCUUUUAGUCUGCAAGCUAACGCAAUAAGCGCUUUGCCUUAGGGAGUGCGGUCGCAAAGACUGAAACUCAAAUGGAAUUGAGGGGGGCGCGCCCAAGCCGAGGAGCAUGUGGUUUAAUUUGAAGCAACGCGAAGAGCCUUACCCGGUCUUGACAUCCUCUGACAAACCUAGAGAUAGGGCUUUCCCCUUCUGGGAGACAGAGUGACAGGUGGUGCAUGGUUGUCGUCAGCUCGGGUCGUGAUAUGAUGGGUUAAGUCCCGCUUAUAAGGUUAUCAAUCAGCUGGGUUUCCUCGACUUAGAGGGGCACUAUAAGGCGACUGCCGGUGACGAACCCGAGGAAGGUGGGGAUGUCUGCAAUCAUCAUGAUCCUUAUUCCUCUGCUUUCUCGUGGCUAAGGGCCGGUGCAAAGGGCAGCGUUCCGAAGAGGAGAACAUGGUCCCAUAAAACCGUUCUUAGUUCGGACGCCAGGCUGCAACUCGCCUGCAUGAAGCUGGAAACGCUAGUAAUCGCGGAUCGGCAUCCCGAGGUGAAAACGUUGACGGGCCUUGCACCCGCCGGCCGUCCCCCCACGAGAGUUUGUGACAGGCGAAGUGGGGGAGGUAACCGUUUGGCGUCAGCCGGAUAGGGGGGACAGA